rnacentral:rRNA from 1 species
GGACCAAGGAGUCUAGCAUGUGCGCGAGUCAUUGGGAUUUUUACUAAACCUAAAGGCGCAAUGAAAGUGAAGGUCCGCCUUGCGCGGACCGAGGGAGGAUGGACCGUUCCGAGGGACGGCCUCGCACUCCCGGGGCGUCUCGCUCUCAUCGCGAGAAGAGGCGCACCCAGAGCGUACACGCUGGGACCCGAAAGAUGGUGAACUAUGCCUGGUCAGGACGAAGUCAGGGGAAACCCUGAUGGAGGUCCGUAGCGAUUCUGACGUGCAAAUCGAUCGUCGGAACUGGGUAUAGGGGCGAAAGACUAAUCGAACCAUCUAGUAGCUGGUUCCCUCCGAAGUUUCCCUCAGGAUAGCUGGCGCUCGCUUCUCGCGAGUCUCAUUCGGUAAAGCGAAUGAUUAGAGGCAUUGGGGUCGAAACGGCCUCAACCUAUUCUCAAACUUUAAAUGGGUGAGAUCUCCGGCUUGCUUGAACUGUGAAGCCGCGAGAUAUCGGAUCAGAGUGCCAAGUGGGCCACUUUUGGUAAGCAGAACUGGCGCUGUGGGAUGAACCAAACGCAGAGUUAAAGCGCCUAAAUCGACGCUUAUGGGAUACCAUGAAAGGCGUUGGUAACUUAAGACAGCNCGACCGUGGCCAUGGAANUCUGA